AAUCUACACCCAUACAGAGUUGCAUUGCAAAAAAAUCUACACGCUUGUCCAAUAUGUACACCCUUAGAUUUUAAAGUGCACAAAAUCUAAAUUCUUAGAUUUAGUGCACAACCUCUGCACCUUUAGUUUUCAGUGCACAAAGAUUUUUAAGUGCACAAAAUCUACCCCUUUAGUUUCAGUGCACAACGUCCACACCCGUUUGUGUUCAAACUCUAUACCCUUAGACUUCCAUGUGCACAAAUCUUACACCCAUAGUUUCAGUGUAGGAAAUCAACACUGUUGCAAGGUUUCAGUGCACAAAGUGCACACUUUCAGUUUCACUGUGAAAAAUGUACACAGUUAGAGCUUCAUUGCACAACAUCUACACCCUCAGUUUCAGUGUACAAAAUCUACAUACUUAGAGUUUCAGUGCACAAGCAUCUACCCCUUUAGAGUUUCAGUGCACAAAGUCCACACCCUUACAGAGUUUGUGUCCAAAAUGUAUACCCUUAGUUUCUGUGUAGAAAAUCUAUACUGUUACAAUGUUUCAGUACACAACAUCUACACAUUUACACAUUCACAACGUGCACACUCAGUUUCACUGUGAAAAAUGCACACCCUAAGAAAUUCACUGCACAACAUCUACACUCUUAAAGUUUCAUGCACAAAGAUCUACCCCUUUGUUUUCAGUGUACAAAAUCUACACUCUUGCAAGGCUUCAGUGUUCAACAUCUACACAAUAUGUGCACAAUAUCUCAACCUUUAAAGCGAUUUCUGGGGACUCUAUUCUGUCUUUUUGCACUUUAUUUUGCAGAAAAAAAAACUUAUUUACCUCAGUAGCUGUGCACAAUGUAAAUUUCUUAUUUUUGAGUUGUGCCAUAUUUGCGUUAUUUAACAUUUGCAAAAAUACCCUAAAAUGUGUAAGCAAUAGCCAGUCAGGUUUCUGUGCGGAUAAACACAUGCUGACAACCAACUGGGACACACCCCUGAUAUACACAGCUCCCUUCAGAAUCUGUUUAUUUACAUUUACGUCCAAUACCGAUCCAAAUGCAAGGAGGCUUCGCCUUGCUGUGCUGCACAGUCAGGCCUUACAUCACCAAAAUGAAUGUGGAAAAAUCUGACCAUCACUGGCAAUUAGUCAGAGAGAAGGGCCGAUGUUGUUUGGAUCCAAGCCUCCUCUUCUGAUAGCAGCAAAUCUACCAAAUCUGGGGAGUUGUUGGUUGCUGGGUCAGUCGUCCCCAAAUGAAACAAAAAAAGAGGAAGGCUUGCCGCUUUUCUAUUGGAAAUGGGAGCAGAACUCAACUAAAUUUUGCAUGAAAACAUUGUUCUGUCUUCAUAUUUUUCCGUUGAGCAGUUCUGUGAAAGAGUGUUUGGGUUUAGCCAUUUGAACCUUUGAAUUAUGGUAAAAGCAUCACCAGCCUGGAUUCAAUUAAAUUAACCUGUAAUAUUUGCCCAUAACUUCCCGUUGAAAAUGGACAAUUUUACUGAAGAAUUAAUUUUCCUUUUUUUUUUUUCAAGUAAGUGCAACAAUCACCAAAUUAAUGAAAAAGAAUUUGUGAUACCAUGGAAAAAGUAAUAUUGGUAUUUAAUUGGACAAAGGUGAAAAUCUAAGUGUUGAUUAAAUCCAAACAAUAUUUUGUCUUUAUAUGACAUUUAUGACAAUAUGUAUUUAUUAAAACCUGAAGGUUGCAGUCAUAGCAAAUUUUGUCCAAAUGCAGUUAUUUCUUUGUAAAUGAAACAUGAGAUUGUUUGAAUUUUCAUCAUUCUGUCUGGAUUUCUUUUUCUUUUCUUUUUUUUUGUUUCACUUAAACUUUUCUCCUGUAUUUGUACAUUUUUAUUUGUCUUAAUAGCAAUGUGAUAUUUAGAUCUGGUUACUGAAUUGCCAUGAUUGUUUUGUUGUUUGAAAUGUGGUAACGCCAAUAAAGGGACCAAAUGUUGAAACAAAA